rnacentral:rRNA from 1 species
GAUGAACGCUAGCGGGAGGCUUAACACAUGCAAGUCGAGCGGGAUUAGCAGCAAUGCUAUGAGAGCGGCGCACGGGUGCGUAACGCGUAUGCAACCUGCCUUAUACAGGGGAAUAGCCCAUGGAAACGUGGAUUAACGUCCCAUAGAAUCAUGAUAUCGCAUGGUAAUAUGAUUAAAACUGAGGUGGUAUAAGAUGGGCAUGCGUCUGAUUAGGUAGUUGGUGAGGUAAUGGCUCACCAAGCCGACGAUCAGUAGGGGUUCUGAGAGGAUUACCCCCCACACUGGUACUGAGGAACGGACCAGACUCCUACGGGAGGCAGCAGUGAGGAAUAUUGGUCAAUGGCCGGAAGGCUGAACCAGCCAUCCCGCGUGCAGGAUGACGGCCCUAUGGGUUGUAAACUGCUUUUCUACAGGAAGAAAAGAUCCCUGCGGGGAGAAUUGACGGUAUUGUAGGAAUAAGCACCGGCUAACUCCGUGCCAGCCGCCGCAGUAA